GGGAAUAUAAUCCGAUAAGGAGUCGGGGCGCACUGUAAAUGCGUUACUUAAAUGUUCUAGUGGGUUCGAUACCCUCUAUUCCCA
rnacentral:tRNA from 1 species